rnacentral:piRNA from 1 species
UGGGUCUUCUGUCUAUUUUUAGCAAUGCA